GUCGUUGUAGUAUAGUCGUAAGUAUUCCCACCUGUCACGCGAGUGACCCGGGUUCGAUCCCCGGCAAUGGCG
rnacentral:tRNA from 1 species